CCUCAAGCCACAGGGACCAAAGUGCAGCUGGUCUCCUUGGAACCGGGGCUGGAAUGCACGCCACUGCAGUGACAUUCUUGGUUCUCAGAGACUACAUGGGCCUGCAUAGCCAGCUGCUCUGGGACUUUGUUCCCCAGCUCCUGGCUGCCACAUGCUCUCAGUUAAGCAGAAGCUGUGAGAGGACCUGGCGAGACCUGUCACCUCCGAGUGCCAAUCCUUGAAGAUGAUUUCUGAGCACAAAAUGGUCAAAGACAGCAGCAAGAGAGAGAACAUGGAGGGGAAACUGAGGGGAGGCCCAGGUGGGCCUCAUCCAAUCAGUUAAAGCCUGAAUAGAACAGAAGACUGACCUCCCCUGGGCAAGAAGGAAUUCUCCAGCAGAUGGUCUUGGGACUGGAACUGCAACAUUAGAUCUUCGUUGGGUCUCCAGCCUGCUGGCCCACCCUGUAGAUUUUGGUCUUGGCAGCCUUCAUAAUUG